rnacentral:rRNA from 1 species
UACAGAGGGUGCAAGCGUUGUUCGGAAUUAUUGGGCGUAAAGCGCGUGUAGGCGGCUUUGCAAGUCGGGUGUGAAAGCCCUCGGCUCAACCGAGGAAGUGCGCCCGAAACUGCAGAGCUUGAGUACCGGAGAGGAUGGCGGAAUUCCCCAAGUAGAGGUGAAAUUCGUAGAUAUGGGGAGGAACACCGGUGGCGAAGGCGGCCAUCUGGACGGAUACUGACGCUGAGGCGCGAAAGCCAGGGGAGCGAACGGG